rnacentral:rRNA from 1 species
CCUACGGGAGGCAGCAGUGAGGAAUAUUGGUCAAUGGUCGGUAGACUGAACCAGCCAAGCCGCGUGAAGGAGGAUUGCACAGUGGAUUGUAAACUUCUUUUGUCUGGGAAUAAAGUGUUGGAUGUGUCCCCGGUUGCAUGUACCUGAUGAAAAAGGAUCGGCUAACUCCGUGCCAGCAGCCGCGGUAAUACGGAGGAUCCGAGCGUUAUCCGGAUUUAUUGGGUUUAAAGGGAUCGGAGGCGGUUUUUUAAGUUAGUUGUGUAAGUCUGGGGCUCAACCGUAGAAUCGCCGUUGAAACUGGCAGACUCGAGUUGAGGAGAGGUAGGCGGAAUGAGCGGUGGAGCGGUGAAAUGCUUAGAUAUCACGCAGAACUCCGAUUGCGAAGGCAGCCUGCCGGA